AUCCUUUUUUGGUUCAUAAGCAUAAUGAUUGGGAAUUCAUGCCAUUGCAUGGUGUGUGCCGCCCAUUAAACCUUGUUACAACAUUGGCACAUUAACCAUCUGACA